UACGUAGGGCGCAAGCGUUUGUCCGGAAUUAUUGGGCGAAAGAGCUCGUAGGCGGCCUGUUGCGUCCGCUGUGAAAUCCCGGGGCUCAACCCCGGGCCUGCAGUGGAUACGGGCUGGCUAGAGGCAGGCAGGGGAGAACGGAAUUCCUGGUGUAGCGGUGAAAUGCGCAGAUAUCAGGAGGAACACCAAUUGCGAAGGCAGCUCGCUGGGACGUGACUGACGCUGAGACGCGAAAGCGUGGGGAGCAAACAGG
rnacentral:rRNA from 1 species